rnacentral:lncRNA from 1 species
GUUCCCACCUCCCCGGAAAGAGGGGGAAAAGCUCCCCCGCCGGAGAACCUGGAAGGGAUUUUUUUCCACCCCCAAGACCAAAAUAACUCACCCGGACGGAAAGGGGCUCUCCCCGCGCGGCCCCCUCGGCUCCCGCCCGCGGGCCCGCCGCCGCCCCUCUCCCGCCGGGGCCGCCCCCCGCCCCCCGCGGGGCUGCGGCGGGGCCCGCGCGCCCCCCAGCCCGGGCCCCGCGGCGCUUCCCGCCCGGAGAGCCGGCGAGCGACGCCGUCGGGCCGCCCGGGGAGGCCCGGCCCGCCGCCCCCUCCUGCUCGCGCGCUCAAGGACAUUUUGCUUUUCCUCCCAAGGACAAAGGACAAUAAAAGGAGCCGGGGAGCCACUCACCGGGUCCGAGCGCGGCUGCCGGCACCUCCUGGUCGCCCGCGCGCGACGCCCGCGCCGGGCCGCCCGCCCGAGCCUCCCGCCCGCGCCGGGUCGAGCCGCCGGGGCCCCGGGGAGCGGCCGCGGCCGCUGCCGCAGCGGCGCUUUCGGCGUCGCGGGCCCGGCCGCCCCGGGCGCCUCUGCCGGGGGCUCCGACCCCACCGCGCGCCCUGCCUCGCCUUAGCCGCUGCCGCCUCGCUCCCGCGGGCCAGCGGGCCGCCCGGCGCAGCUCCUUGCCGGCCAGCGGGCCCCGCGGCCGCGGCGGAGCGCCUGACAGCUCGGGGUGCUGCUGCCUCUCCGGCCAUCUUGUGCCGUGUGUGUGUGGUGUCUCUCUCCCGUCUCCUCUCUCGGCUUUACUCCCUCCUCCUCCUCCCCCCCGCCCCACACACCACACAACAUGGCCCCUUCGCUGCGGCGGCGGCUGCGGCGGCGGCAGCAGCUCAGCCGCGCUCCUGCCCGCUCCCCUCCCCCACCCUCCCCGCCUCCCGCCCGCAGCCCCACGUCCCAGCGCGCACGCGCGCCACCGCCCGCCCGCCGCGGCCAUUGGCUCCGCGAGCUUCCUGCCACCCCCUUCCCGGGAGCGGCCUCACGCACGCUCGCCGGCGUCUUCCUCCCGCCUAA